rnacentral:rRNA from 1 species
AUUGAACGCUGGCGGCAUGCUUUACACAUGCAAGUCGAACGGUAACAGGUUAAGCUGACGAGUGGCGAACGGGUGAGUAAUGCAUCGGAACGUGCCCGGUCGUGGGGGAUAACGCAGCGAAAGCUGCGCUAAUACCGCAUACGAUCUGAGGAUGAAAGCGGGGGACCGUAAGGCCUCGCGCGAUCGGAGCGGCCGAUGUCAGAUUAGGUAGUUGGUGGGGUAAAGGCUCACCAAGCCGACGAUCUGUAGCUGGUCUGAGAGGACGACCAGCCACACUGGGACUGAGACACGGCCCAGACUCCUACGGGAGGCAGCAGUGGGGAAUUUUGGACAAUGGGCGCAAGCCUGAUCCAGCAAUGCCGCGUGCAGGAAGAAGGGCCUUCGGGUUGUAAAGCUCUUCGGCCGGGAAGAAAUCGCAUCUCCUAAUACGGGUGUGGAUGACGGUACCGGAAGAAGAAGCACCGGCUAACUACGUG